GUCAACGGCCAUAUCACGUAGAACGCACCUGGUCUCGUCAGCUACCAGAAGUUAAGUUACGUCGAGUCUUUGGUAGGUUGACCGCUUGGGAAUACGGGAUGUCGUUGGCG
rfam:Daphnia pulex DAPPTscaffold_268_Cont8074, whole genome shotgun sequence.